GUCGAAACACCAAUUUCCAUAUGAUCACCAAAGUUAAGCAACGUCGGCUCUGGCCAGUACCUACAUGGGUGACCGCUUGGGAAUACUAGGUGAUGUGG